rnacentral:rRNA from 1 species
UCGAGCGCAGGAAUCGACGGAACCCUUCGGGGGGAAGUCGACGGAAUGAGCGGCGGACGGGUGAGUAACACGUAAAGAACCUGCCCUCAGGUCUGGGAUAACCACGAGAAAUCGGGGCUAAUACCGGAUGGGUCAUCGGACCGCAUGGUCCGAGGAUGAAAGGCGCUUCGGCGUCGCCUGGGGAUGGCUUUGCGGUGCAUUAGCUAGUUGGUGGGGUAAUGGCCCACCAAGGCGACGAUGCAUAGCCGACCUGAGAGGGUGAUCGGCCACACUGGGACUGAGACACGGCCCAGACUCCUACGGGAGGCAGCAGUAGGGAAUCUUCCACAAUGGACGAAAGUCUGAUGGAGCAACGCCGCGUGAACGAUGAAGGCCUUCGGGUCGUAAAGUUCUGUUGUAAGGGAAGAACAAGUGCCGCAGGCAAUGGCGGCACCUUGACGGUACCUUGCGAGAAAGCCACGGCUAACUACGUGCCAGCAGCCGCGGUAAUACGUAGGUGGCAAGCGUUGUCCGGAAUUAUUGGGCGUAAAGCGCGCGCAGGCGGCCUCUUAAGUCUGAUGUGAAAGCCCCCGGCUCAACCGGGGAGGGCCAUUGGAAACUGGGAGGCUUGAGUAUAGGAGAGAAGAGUGGAAUUCCACGUGUAGCGGUGAAAUGCGUANAGAUGUGGAGGAACACCAGUGGCGAAGGCGACUCUUUGGCCUAUAACUGACGCUGAGGCGCGAA